AUUAUAUAUUCCAUUGUGUGCUGAACUGAAGUGUUAUGUUAUACAGUACUGUGAGCACUACAGAGAUAGUGUUCUAUUUAAUUGUGUGCCACCAGUGCUCAACAAUGACAGCCAUGAGAACCUGAGUGCCUUCCUGGGACCUGCUCUACACUGAGAAACGGCAGUGGCAACAAGCCAUGUCCGGCUUUGAAGCGGGAUCAAACUCGACAGUUUCUCUCAUGUCUGUAGCACUGGCCCAUGUGAACCUGGCUUGCUGAAGAUUAGGGUGGGAAAAUAUCCGCAGUGGUUGGUGGACACCCACAUUUUACCAGCCCCUCCAUUUUUUUCCCAGGCACAUUUUUUCUUCUAUGCUGUACCCCGUCCCGCUUUCACCGCUGUAGCGUUCAGAUUGUUUCUUCUAGAGCUGAAACACACACUAAAAUAAAUAUUCAUGUAUCAGCCAAUGCCAAAAUCUACCAGCAUUUGGCUAGUGGCUGGUGUUCAUUUCCCACCUUGCUGAAGAUGGGUCAGAAUUAUGUAGCCAUCAGAAUGUUCAGCAAUGCCUUAAGGGUGGACCCCACCUACAUCAGGGGACACUGGUAGCCUAGUGGAUAGAGCGUUGGGCCAGUAACCGAAAGGUUGGUGGAUCGAAUCCCCGAGCUGACAAGGUAAAAAUCUGUCGUUCUGCCCCUGAACAAGGCUGUUAACCCACUGUUCCUAGGCCGUCAUUGUAAAUAAGAAUUUGUUCUUAACUGACUUGCCUAGUUAAAUGAAGGUUAAAUAAAAACUAAAAAAAUACAUCUGCUGGACCCAAGCCCAUCGCAAUGUGAUCAUGUUUUUUGAUUUAUAAACUUAUUUUACAUUUAUGGUUCAUGUACUGCAUCUUAUUUGGAUCUAAACAGGUCAAUGAUCUGAAGAGAGAAAAUCUUACAAGCCACUCACAUGAAACCAGGUGCACAACACUUCUAUAUCAUGAGAGGACAGUAUCUGUGUGACAUGGAACAGUUUGAUCUGACCACAUUUUGUAUCAAAUACGCUGCUAAGAUGAACGAAGCUCUAGGGUCAUUUCCUAUCCAGCAGGCUGCAGUCCAGUCUUUCCUGGGGAAUGCUGCCAAAGCCAUUGCAUGUCUAGAGGCAGCCACCAACAACCCGACCCUCACCUCCCAUCUUCAUUCUGCUGGGCAAGACUCAGAUGAAGGCAAGCAAGUUCAUAGUAUGUUGUUGCUAUGUUAUGGGCUACCAUACCUUGACAUGUUUCAU
rnacentral:lncRNA from 8 species